AUACGUAGGGGGCGAGCGUUGUCCGGAAUUACUGGGCGUAAAGGGUGCGUAGGUGGCACUUUAAGUUGGAUGUGAAAUCCCCGAGCUUAACAUGGGAGCUGCAUCCAAUACUGGAGAGCUAGAGUGCAGGAGAGGUAAGCGGAAUUCCUAGUGUAGCGGUGAAAUGCGUAGAUAUUAGGAGGAACACCAGUGGCGAAGGCGGCUUACUGGACUGUAACUGACGCUGAGGCACGAAAGCGUGGGGAGCAAACAGGAUUAGAUACCCUGGUAGUCCACGCUGUAAACGAUGAAUACUAGGUGUAGGGGGUAUCAACUCCCUCUGUGCCGCAGCAAACGCAAUAAGUAUUCCGCCUGGGGAGUACGGCCGCAAGGUUGAAACUCAAAUGAAUUGGCGGGG
rnacentral:rRNA from 1 species